GUGGGUGUAGCUCAGCUGGCAGAGCACUGGGUUGUGGCCCCAGGGGUCGAGGGUUCAAACCCCUUCACUCACC
rnacentral:tRNA from 1 species